AACGAACGCUGGCGGCAUGCCUAACACAUGCAAGUCGAACGAACCCUUCGGGGUUAGUGGCGCACGGGUGCGUAACGCGUGGGAAUCUGCCCUUUGCUUCGGAAUAACAGUUAGAAAUGACUGCUAAUACCGGAUGAUGUCUUCGGACCAAAGAUUUAUCGGCAAGGGAUGAGCCCGCGUAGGAUUAGGUAGUUGGUGGGGUAAAGGCCUACCAAGCCGACGAUCCUUAGCUGGUCUGAGAGGAUGAUCAGCCACACUGGGACUGAGACACGGCCCCGACUCCUACGGGAGGCGGCAGUGGGGAAUAUUGGACAAUGGGCGCAAGCCUGAUUCAGCAAUGCCGCGUGAGUGAUGAAGGCCUUCGGGUCGUAAAGCUCUUUUACCAGGGAUGAUAAUGACAGUACCUGGAGAAUAAGCUCCGGCUAACUCCGUGCCAGCAGCCGCCGUAACAC
rnacentral:rRNA from 1 species